CUGUUCCUUAAUGUUCAUAUAAUUAUAAAAGUAGCCUCAAGGUAUUUUAAAACUAACCUCUGUACGCUUUCGUUUACAAUGUAGCUGCUUCAUUUCUUCAAAUUUCCCGAAAAUAUUCGUACAGUAACAGUAAAAUUCUUGUAUAGUUUGAGGUGAUUUUGUAUGAAAGUAGCAAAACGAGCUCGUGUUGAUAAACAAAGUCCGAGGCUCUCCACUCCUUCAAAAUUGUAAAUCCCGUUUCGUGGCGUUUAUAUAUAACCUGAAGUUCAGGCCCUAAUUUGAAAUAGGGCCUGACACAAUCUCGUUCCCAGAGUAUGCCUGUUCGCGGGUUAGGCACUACCUAACCCGCAAACAGGCAUACUCUGGGAACGAGAUUGGGCCUGACACAAAACCUGUCUAGACCGUGGGACGCCCACAUGUUAUUUUUAGACACAACAUGCAAUAUGAUUGACAAGUGUUGUAGAUUUCGCUACACAAAAAAAUUAUAUUCUCAUGAACAUGUCCGCCGAGCAGAGGGCAAUUGAUAAAACUAGAAUAGUGAAGCGAAUAGUGCGAAUAGUGCGAAUAGUCGACGAAUAGUGCGAAUAGUCCGCGAAUAGUCCGCGAAUAGUCGACGAAUAGUACGAAUAGUCCGCGAAUAGUCGACGAAUAGUGCGAAUAGUCCGCGAAUAGUCGACGAAUAGUGCGAAUAGUCCGCGAAUACAGUGGCGUAACGUUAUAUCAGGGGGCCCCCGGUUCAAAAUUUUCGAAGGCCCCCCUAGUAGACGUACCAAAGGCACGAGUCGAGCGCCGUAUAUGCACGAGUUUUCUAGGGGGUCCAGGGCAUGCUCAUCCGGAAAAUUUUUGAAUCUAGACUCUCUGAAAUGCCAUUUCCUGGACUUUGGGGAGAGAUUUUACAGAAUUCUGAUGGUCAUAAAACGACAUUGUAACAUAUCAGAGGCCCUGACCAAUGUUUUUGCUCUAUCGCCUAAGCCUGGGGGCCCCCAUUUGGGUUGGGGGCCCCCGGGUUCUCCCGGUCUGAGACCAUAGUAGUUACGCCAUUGCGCGAAUAGUCGACGAAUAGUACGAAUAGUCGACGAAUAGUGCAAUAGAGAAUUUGCAAGGCUUUCCACCACUGAGCUUUCCACCGUGCUGUAGAACUAAAUUUACCGAAGCGGGGGGGG